rnacentral:tRNA from 3 species
GGGCCGGUAGCUCAGUGGUAGAGCAUCGGACUUUUAAUCCGCUGGUCGUGGGUUCGAUCCCCACCCGGCUCACCA